rnacentral:rRNA from 1 species
GAUGAACGCUGGCGGCGUGCUUAACACAUGCAAGUCGAACGAAGAUGCCGGAGUGCUUGCACUUUGGCAGACUGAGUGGCGGACGGGUGAGUAACGCGUGGGUAACCUGCCUUAUACAGGGGGGAUAACAGUUGGAAACGACUGCUAAUACCGCAUAAGCGCACGGUAUCGCAUGAUACAGUGUGAAAAACUCCGGUGGUAUAAGAUGGACCCGCGUCUGAUUAGCUUGUUGGUGAGGUAACGGCCCACCAAGGCGACGAUCAGUAGCCGGCCUGAGAGGGUGAACGGCCACAUUGGGACUGAGACACGGCCCAAACUCCUACGGGAGGCAGCAGUGGGGAAUAUUGCACAAUGGGGGAAACCCUGAUGCAGCGACGCCGCGUGAGUGAUGAAGUAUUUCGGUAUGUAAAACUCUAUCAGCAGGGAAGAUAAUGACGGUACCUGACUAAGAAGCACCGGCUAAAUACGUG